UACCCGACAACAUAACACAACAAAUACAUUAAUCAAGCAAAAACCUGAAAUUAAAUAAAAUUUAAAUCCAAAUACAAAUGAAAUUAAAAUGAUAUCAGGAUCUGCUCUCUGGCUCACCUCUUCACUCUCACAUGUGGGAUCUGCCCUACUGUCUCUCUCUCCUCCUGACUCACAUGUGGGAUCUGCCCUCCUGUCUCUCUCUCUCCUCCUGUCUCCCUCUCCUCAUCCUGUCUCUCCCGUCUCACAUGUGGGAUCUGCCCUCCUGUCUCUCUCUCUCCUCCUGUCUCUCUCUCCUCCUGUCUCCCUCUCCUCAUCCUGUAUCACAUGUGGGAUCUGCCCUCCUGUCUCUCUCUCUCCUCCUGUCUCUCUCUCCUCCUGUCUCCCUCUCUCUCCUCCCGACUCUCUCUCUCCUCCUGUCUCACAUGUGGGAUCUGCCCUCCUGUCUCUCUCUCUCCUCCUGUCUCUCUCUCUCUCCUCCUGUCUCACAUGUGGGAUCUGCCCUCCUGUCUCUCUCUCUCUCCUCCUCCUGUCUCACAUGUGGGAUCUGCCCUCCUGUCUCUCUCUCUCCUCCUGUCUCACAUGUGGGAUCUGCCCUCCUGUCUCUCUCUCUCCUCCUGUCUCCCUCUCUCUCCUCCUGACUCUCUCUCCUCCUCUCUCUCGCUCUCCUCCUGUCUCACAUGUGGGAUCUGCCCUCCUGUCUCUCUCUCUCUCCUCCUCCUGUCUCACAUGUGGGAUCUGCCCUCCUGUCUCUCUCUCUCCUCCUGUCUCUCUCUCUCUCCUCCUGUCUCUCUCUCUCCUCCUGUCUCUCUCCUCCUCCUGUCUCACAUGUGGGAUCUGCCCUCCUGUCUCUCUCUCUCCUCCUGUCUCUCUCUCCUCCUGUCUCACAUGUGGGAUCUGCCCUCCUGUCUCUCUCUCUCCUCCUGUCUCACAUGUGGGAUCUGCCCUCCUGUCUCUCUCCUCCUCCUGUCUCUCUCCUCCUCCUGUCUCACAUGUGGGAUCUGCCCUCCUGUCUCUCUCUCUCCUCCUGUCUCUCUCUCUCCUCCUGUCUCUCUCUCCUCCUCCUGUCUCACAUGUGGGAUCUGCCCUCCUGUCUCUCUCUCUCCUCCUGUCUCUCUCUCUCUCCUCCUGUCUCUCUCUCUCCUCCUGUCUCUCUCCUCCUCCUGUCUCACAUGUGGGAUCUGCCCUCCUGUCUCUCUCUCUCCUCCUGUCUCUCUCCUCCUCCUGUCUCUCUCUCCUCCUGUCUCACAUGUGGGAUCUGCCCUCCUGUCUCUCUCUCUCCUCAUCCUGUCUCACAUGUGGGAUCUGCCCUUCUCUCUCUCUCUCUCCUCCUGUCUCUCUCUCUCCUCCUGUCUCUCUCCUCCUCCUCUCUCUCUCUCCUCCUCCUGUCUCACAUGUGGGAUCUGCCCUCCUGUCUCUCUCUCUCCUCCUGUCUCUCUCUCCUCCUGUCUCUCUCUCCUCUUCCUGUCUCACAUGUGGGAUCUGCCCCUCCUGUCUCUCUCUCUUCCUGUCUCACACGUGGGAUCUGCCCUCCUGUCUCUCUCUCUCCUCCUGUCUCUCUCUCCUCCUCCUGUCUCUCUCCUCCUCCUGUCUCACAUGUGGGAUCUGCCCUUCUCUCUCUCUCCUCCUCCUGUCUCUCUCUCCUUCUGACUCUGCAGUCUUCAGGCUUUCUGGCUGUUUCUUCCUCUCUCUCCUGCCUCCCCUGUUGAAUUAAAAACAAAAACAAAAUGAUAACAUAGUCCAUGAGUCAGUAUUAUGAUGAGUCAUG
ensembl:lncRNA